CAAAAACAUCGCCUCUUGCAAACUUAAUAAAUAAGAGGUCCCGCCUGCCCUGUGACUAUUAGUUUAACGGCCGCGGUAUUUUGACCGUGCGAAGGUAGCGCAAUCACUUGUCUUUUAAAUGAAGACCUGUAUGAAUGGCAUAACGAGGGCUUAACUGUCUCCUCUCUCCAGUCAAUGAAAUUGAUCUUCCCGUGCAGAAGCGGGAAUACAAACAUAAGACGAGAAGACCCUAUGGAGCUUUAGACACCAAGGCAGAUCAUGUUAAUAACCCUAAUUAAAGGACCAAACCAAAUGGUACCUGCCCUAAUGUCUUUGGUUGGGGCGACCGCGGGGAAUUGAAAAACCCCCACGUGGAAUGGGAGCACCCCUCCUACAACUAAGAGCUACAGCUCUAGUAAACAGAAAUUCUGACCAGUAAGAUCCGGCAAUGCCGAUCAACGGACCGAGUUACCCUAGGGAUAACAGCGCAAUCCUCUUUUAGAGCCCAUAUCGACAAGGGGGUUUACGACCUCGAUGUUGGAUCAGGACAUCCUAAUGGUGCAGCCGCUAUUAAGGGUUCGUUUGUUCAACGAUUAAAGUCCUACGUGAUCUG
rnacentral:rRNA from 1 species